rnacentral:lncRNA from 1 species
GGCACAGAAUCACAGCUGGGGGAGGUGGGAGCCGCCUGGCUCCAGCCACGGACAGUUGUGGUCUGACUAUCCAGGUCGUGUGACUCACCUCCACCAGAGUGGGCAGCAGACCACACCUGCCCACCCCCUGGCCCCCCAAGCCUCUCCUUUGUAUUUGUUUGUAGUCAAUCCCUGAAGAAGGCCAAGUCACCACCUCUGCCCCAAAGCGAAAAACCAGUUUACUUUGGCAAAGCUCAAGUCCUCAAGGUGCACUCCGGCAAGGAUGAAGAGGAAAAAGCAUCCAAGCCAAAGUCAGAGAGCUGAGGAUGCCAGAGCUAGGUGACUUCUCCAGCUUCCAUCUCAGGUGGUCCCCAAAUUCCAGGAGUCCCUGGCCCGCCAACUCCUCAGAGCCCCUGAUCGCCUACCGCAGAGCCUGCUAAUAAAGCCCUGUCUUCCUUCGGAGGGGACAGUCCCACUCACCUAGCCAAAGGAGCUGUGUGCUUGGGCUUUCUCCCAGAAGAAGCAGGGCUCCCUGAAUCACCCGCUCCCAUGGAGAAAGCCCAGAUGCUGCUGCCCCCAGGAGCUGACCUAGGUCUUUUACAUUCCGGUAAACUGACGUGCAGCUUAGAAAGGGGCUCUGCCUGUCCUGGAGCCAAAAGCCACAGGGCCUGGGUAUGUUAGAGCAGAGGUUAGGGAACCCACAUUCUCCUUGAGAUGAUCAUUCUAACCAAGAUGCGUUCCUAUAUGUGCCAGGCACCGAGGCAGAGAAAGGUGGUAGCUGGUGAUGGGCACCUAAAUAAUGCAUGCAGUACUAUAUUUGAUUCUCCCAACAGGCCCCAUGAGGUAGGAUAUUAAUAUCAUUGCCCCAUUUGCUAGGUGAAUAAACUGAGCCAACACUAAGUGUCACCAAGUGUCCAAAGUCACACUUAACAAGUGUCAGAACGAAGAUUUAAACCCUAGAUGUCUGGCUAUAAACCCCUGCUCAGCCGGGGAUUUAGCUCAGUGGUUCUGCUGCCUGCCUCGCAAGUGUAAGGACCCGAGUUCAAUCCCCUGCUCACACAGCAGCCCUCCCCCAAAGCUGUGGUUACAUUUCUGGAAAGUAUAAAGGAUUAGCUAAAUUGAGUAGAAAAGGGGCAUUUAUAAAAUGACCCUGGUGCCAGAAG